GCCAGUGUAGCUCAGUUGGUAGAGCGGCGCAUUCGUAAUGCGCAGGUCCUCGGUUCGAGUCCGAGCACUGGCU
rnacentral:tRNA from 1 species